CGGGUUCGCGGGGUUUGAGAGAGGGGGUUUAGCGGCUCACAACCACCGUUAACAAGAAGUGAGGAACGACAUGCGACGCCAUUAGAGAGGGUGUUUCAUCCAAAGCGCACUGCCUCCUCUGGAGAGUUCUACGCACAAUAUGGUUGACCGUGUGGAGAGUCCAACAUAAGCACGCAAAAGUUGUGUAUAAUAGGUGGAAACUAUUAAGUUUUGAGAUCCAUUGGAUGAGACUUUUUCUUUUCUUUUUUUUUUUGGCAAUUAAUGGGAAGAGUAUCUAUUGGUUAGAACUAAUUCGGCGGUUGGUUUAACUAUAUAUGAUUCUCAUGUUGUUUGAUUCUUGGGUAUUUUAGUGGCUAAGAAGCAUCAAUUCAAAAGCAAAUAAAAAGAUUGCCUUUUCACGAUUAUUAA